CGCGUGGGAACAUACCCAGAGGUACGGAACAACAGUUAGAAAUGACUGCUAAUACCGUAUACGCCCUACGGGGGAAAGAAUUUCGCCUUUGGAUUGGCCCGCGUUGGAUUAGAUAGUUGGUGGGGUAACGGCCUACCAAGUCUACGAUCCAUAGCUGGUUUGAGAGGAUGAUCAGCCACACUGGGACUGAGACACGGCCCAGACUCCUACGGGAGGCAGCAGUGGGGAAUCUUAGACAAUGGGCGCAAGCCUGAUCUAGCCAUACCGCGUGAGUGAUGAAGGCCUUAGGGUCGUAAAGCU
rnacentral:rRNA from 1 species